CAAAACCGCGUAUCAUGGAUAACGCAAAACCGCGUACGUGAGGUUGCAAUAAUUAUUUUGUAGAGAGUAAAAACACGCAUAUUUCGAAAUUGUUCUCUCUUUUAUAAAGGAAUCGCUUUUCUGUCUAGUAUAUUUCAGCAGGAACGGAUGAGGCUUGAGCCAAGAGCUUCGGUGAGCAAAUCCAAUUU